CACCAGGUUGAUUCUGCCUGACGUAGACGCUAUACUCUAAGAUUAACCCAUGCAUGUUUAUUGAAUAUAAAGAAAAGACGAACAGCUCAGUAACUCUUAUUUUAUUUGAUGUAUUAGGAUAAUAACUAUGUUAAAUUAUAGAUAACAAUAAUACAAUAAGAAUAAGAUCUAUCAGUUAGUUGUUAAGGUAAUGGCUUAACAAGACUAUGACGGAUAACGGUAUUACUUUGUAAUAUUCCGGAGAAGGAGCCUGAGAGAUUGCUACUAAGUCUAAGGAUUGCAGCAGGGGCGAAACUUGACCUAUGAUAUGAUAUUGAGGCAGUUAUGAGUAGUAUUUUUAAUUAUUGUAGUAUUGUAAGUAUAUACUACAAGAUAAAUCGGAGGGCAAAUCGAGUGCCAGCAGCCGCGGUAAUACUUGUUCCGAUAGUGUGUAUGAUGAUUGAUGCAGUUAAAAAGUCUGUAGUUUAUUAUUAAUAAGCAUUGUGAGGUAUAUUGUAUGGUUAGGAGAGAGAUGAAAUGUGAUAACCCUAACUGGAUGAACAGAAGCGAAAGCUAUAUACUUAAAUGUAUUAUUAGAACAAGGACGUAAGCUAGAGGAUCGAAGAUGAUUAGAUACCAUUGUAGUUCUAGCAGUAAACUAUGUUGAAUCAUAGAUACAUUUAUAAUAUGUAUUUAUGUAAAGAAAUUAAGAUUAUAUUGACUCUGGGGAUAGUAUGAUCGCAAGAUUGAAAAUUAAAGAAAUUGACGGAAGAAUACCACAAGGAGUGGAUUGUGCGGCUUAAUUUGACUCAACGCGGGGUAAUU
rnacentral:rRNA from 1 species